GCGAGUGAGCGGCAAAAGCUCAAAUUUGAAAUCUGGCGCCUUCGGUGUCCGAGUUGUAAUUUGAAGAUUGUAACCUUGGGGUUGGCUCUUGUCUAUGUUUCUUGGAACAGGACGUCACAGAGGGUGAGAAUCCCGUGCGAUGAGAUGCCCAAUUCUAUGUAAGGUGCUUUCGAAGAGUCGAGUUGUUUGGGAAUGCAGCUCUAAGUGGGUGGUAAAUUCCAUCUAAAGCUAAAUAUUGGCGAGAGACCGAUAGCGAACAAGUACAGUGAUGGAAAGAUGAAAAGAACUUUGAAAAGAGAGUGAAAAAGUACGUGAAAUUGUUGAAAGGGAAGGGUUUGAGAUCAGACUCGAUAUUUUGUGAGCCUUGCCUUCGUGGCGGGGUGACCCGCAGCUUAUCGGGCCAGCAUCGGUUUGGGCGGUAGGAUAAUGGCGUAGGAAUGUGACUUUACUUCGGUGAAGUGUUAUAGCCUGCGUUGAUGCUGCCUGCCUAGACCGAGGACUGCGAUUUUAUCAAGGAUGCUGGCAUAAUGAUCCCAAACCGCCCGUCUUG
rnacentral:rRNA from 1 species